GUCCUCGACCUGCUGCGGACAGAUGAAGUGGAUGUGCGAAUCGAAGCCGCCCGCGGUCAGGAUCCGGCCCUCGCCCGCGAUCACCUCGGUCCCGGGGCCGAUGACGAUGUCGACGCCGGGCUGGACAUCGGGAUUGCCCGCCUUGCCGAUGGCCGCGAUGCGCCCGUCGCGCAGGCCCACAUCCGCCUUGUAGAUGCCGGUCGCGUCGAGGAUCAGCGCGUUGGUGAUGACGGUGUCGGCGGCCCCCUCGGCCCGGGUGGCCUGGCUCUGGCCCAUGCCGUCGCGGAU
rnacentral:sRNA from 1 species